AAUCAACGCUGGCGGCGUGCUUAACACAUGCAAGUCGAACGCGGUUACUGCCUCUCCGCAAGGAGAGAUGGUGACUGAGUGGCGAACGGGUGAGUAACACGUGGGUGAUCUACCUCUGAGUGGGGGAUAACGUUCCGAAAGGAACGCUAAUACCGCAUGACGUUCUGGGUUUGAAGACCUGGAAACCAAAGCUGGGGCCCUUAGGGCAACUUAAGGCCUGGCGCUUGGAGAGGAACCCGCGCCUGAUUAGCUAGUUGGUGAGGUUACGGCUCACCAAGGCGACGAUCAGUAGCCGGCCUGAGAGGGCGGACGGCCACACUGGGACUGAGACACGGCCCAGACUCCUACGGGAGGCAGCAGUGGGGAAUCUUGCGCAAUGGGCGAAAGCCUGACGCAGCGACGCCGCGUGAGGGAUGACGCCUC
rnacentral:rRNA from 1 species